GGGCCGCUAGCUCAUCAGGUAGAGCUCCGGACUUUUAAUCCGGCGGGCAGGGUUCGAGUCCCUGGCGGCCCA
rnacentral:tRNA from 1 species